GGACCCAGCACUUCCAUAGGCAUACUCUGGCUUGCAGGUAAUUACAGCUACUUCACCAACCUUCAUGGUCCUCAGUGCAACAUCCCAAGCCUUAAUAACAGAACCAGUGCCUAUCUCAAAGGAGAAAAUUGUAUUGUCUUCACGGGUAGUAUCAAAUACUUCACCAGUAUCAGCAAGAGUGCCUUCAUAAUGAACAUCAACAAGAGGAAGACUCUCUGAGGGAGCAAUAGCAUCAGGUUUGGAUCGUUGCACAAUUUUUUUCAUAACACCUCCAUCUCCAGUCAAAUCAAUUGCAUCACCCAUGUUAUUCAACUUUUCAGCAACCUGGAGUUCAAUUUCGCCGGAGAUUAAAAAAAUUAAACGGCAGAGGAAAGUUACUCCGGUGUCAUCUGAAAUUGGACGGCAAAAUCAAUCGGAAUUCGGAUCCCAAAUUGGAAUCCAAUUGCUUGUUGUAAACGCAAACAAGCUAAAAGAGGAAUAUGGGC
rnacentral:misc_RNA from 1 species